GGCGGCAUCAUGAUCGGUUGAGGUUUCCAUUAAAAUUAGCGCUGCGCGCGUCCGGGCCUCAGGCCUUCGCCGGGAGACGACUGUGUUCCACUCUAAUAAUUUCUCAUUAAUGACUUGAUUCUCAAUAUUUAUUAGUGUGCCCAGGACCCUCUGGUGAUUUGCAACGGAAAUAAUCAAGAUUUUAAGGGUGUUUUAUUCAAACAAAAAUCGACAGGGAUGGGCGGGCCCAGCUUUUUUCUCGUCGUUGAUUGGCUGAUGCGGCGUGGGCGGAUCGUGAUCUACCUUCCCAUUGGUCAACCUGGAUGUUAACCGCCCUGAUUGUUAGGCACCCAAGAACCUCUUGUAUCGUAUGAACAUAGGAGCAGGAGUAGGCCAUUCGGCCCCUCAAACUCGGUCUAUCAUUUAACUGGACCAUGGCUGAUCUCCCUCAGCGCCAUCUUCCCGCAAUAUACCCGUAUCCCUCGAUGUCAUUGGCAUCAAGAAAUCUACCUGCUUUGAAGAUGCUGAACGGCUGAGCCUGCACCGCCCUCUGGGGUAGAGAGUUCCUAAAGAUUCCCCGCCCAACGACUGAAGAGAUUCCUCCUCAUCUCGGCCCUUAAAUGGCCUGCCUGCUGUCCUGGGACCUGGUCCCCUGGUCCUAGGCUCCCCCGCUCCGCGCAACCAGGGAAAAGGUCCUAUCCAUGCGGCGCCCUGGAAGAAUUUUGCACGUCUCCAGUGAGAUCGCCUCUCGUCCUUCGGCACUCCAGGGAAUGCAGGCCCAGUUUCGUCAGCCUCUCCUUAUAGAACAAACCCGCCAUCCCGGGGAUUGGCCUGGUAAGCCCUCCUUGCACUCCCCCUACGGCCAGUGUAUAUGUCCGGUUUCCCUGGACCCAACCCAACCCAACCCAAUUUAUUUCAGUUUCAGCACUGAUAUGUGGAAAUAAAUAGUAUAUUACGCUGAAA